rnacentral:rRNA from 1 species
AGAGUUUGAUCCUGGCUCAGGACGAACGCUGGCGGCGUGCUUAACACAUGCAAGUCGAGCGGAAAGGCCCUUCGGGGUACUCGAGCGGCGAACGGGUGAGUAACACGUGAGCAACCUGCCCCAUGCUUUGGGAUAACCCUCGGAAACGGGGGCUAAUACCGGAUAUUCACUGCUGAUCGCAUGUUUGGUGGUGGAAAGUUUUUCGGCGUGGGAUGGGCUCGCGGCCUAUCAGCUUGUUGGUGGGGUGAUGGCCUACCAAGGCGACGACGGGUAGCCGGCCUGAGAGGGCGACCGGCCACACUGGGACUGAGACACGGCCCAGACUCCUACGGGAGGCAGCAGUGGGGAAUAUUGCACAAUGGGCGGAAGCCUGAUGCAGCGACGCCGCGUGAGGGAUGACGGCCUUCGGGUUGUAAACCUCUUUCAGCAGGGACGAAGCGCAAGUGACGGUACCUGCAGAAGAAGCGCCGGCCAACUACGUGCCAGCAGCCGCGGUAAGACGUAGGGCGCGAGCGUUGUCCGGAUUUAUUGGGCGUAAAGAGCUCGUAGGCGGCUUGUCGCGUCGACUGUGAAAACCCGCGGCUCAACCGCGGGCCUGCAGCCGAUACGGGCAGGCUAGAGUUCGGUAGGGGAGACUGGAAUUCCUGGUGUAGCGGUGAAAUGCGCAGAUAUCAGGAGGAACACCGAUGGCGAAGGCAGGUCUCUGGGCCGAUACUGACGCUGAGGAGCGAAAGCGUGGGGAGCGAACAGGAUUAGAUACCCUAGUAGUCC